CUUUACUGUAGCUUGGAAUUGGGUUCGGGCUUUGCUUGCGCAGGAUAGGUGGGAGACUAUGAAGUUGCUCUUGUGGGGCACAUAGAGUCAACGGUGAGAUACCACUCUGUCAGAGCUAGAAUUCUAACCUUCACCCGUGAUCCGGGGAAGGAACCGUAUCAGGUGGGCAGUUUGACUGGGGCGGUCGCCUCCUAAAAGGUAACGGAGGCGCGCAAAGGUGUUCUCAGGCUGGUUGGAAAUCAGCCGUAGAGUGUAAAGGCAGAAGGAAGCUUGACUGUGAGACUGACAAGUCAAACAGGGACGAAAGUCGGCUUUAGUGAUCCGACGGCACUGAGUGGAAGGGCCGUCGCUCAACGGAUAAAAGUUA
rnacentral:rRNA from 1 species